GCCUCUGGUUUCUAGGACCGAGCAGCUCCCGGUCCUUUUCCUUGUAUCUCCGCAGGUCCCACCAAUACGGACUUGAUGGUAGGAGCUGCAACAACCAAACCAAAGACAUGGCCUUGAGGGUGGAAGCCAUGAUAGUGGAGAAGAAAGAGGGAAGAAGCCAUAUCCCCAGUGAUGUCAAAAAGGAGACAGAAGAGGAGGGAAGACAGAGAGGAAAGAAGGCCAUGUGAAGACAGAGGCAGAAAUUGGAGCGGUGCAGUCACAAAAAAUUCCUGGAGCCACCAGAAGCUGGAAGAGGCAAGGAAGAAAGAGCUCCCGGAGGGAGUG